ACGACAAGGAAUUGUCGAUAAGAUGUAAGUGUUCUUUUGUAUUAUAGGGGACUAAAAAAAAUUUUAACCCACAUUAAGUGACUUUCUUUGCAGAAUUUAAUGGCUAUACACUGUGCCCAUGGUUAGACUCUCUUUCUAACUAGGAGUGCUUGUAGUAAAGUUCCUUGAUGUGUUUCCAAAAUUGAACUUUAUUAACUCAUGUUUGUCAACAAUUAAAAUUUAUACUACGCAUAAAACUGCCAAGGUAAAACUAACUUCAAUUGAGUUCAGUUUGUCAAUUUCAUAUCAUAAAUCACUCUCUUGAAAUGAGUUUUGAAAAUGAAAAAUGAAAAAGAAGAAAGCUCAUGUGCAACCAUCUCCGUUAAAUUGAAUAUAAACAGUUGAUGUCCAA
rnacentral:misc_RNA from 1 species